GAGCUCUGUGUUGACCCAGAAAAAGAGUCACAACAAGAUCUAAACCCUUCCAAUAAUUUCAGAAUAAAAGACCUGGCAAAAGGGUUAACUCUGGUAAGAAACAAGGCUCUGAGAAAAUGGUCAGAUGGAAAUGUUGCUGUUCCCAUCAAACACUACAUGUGCUGCUUGUAGAAUAAAUGGGUUUACUUAGUGUGUAUUCCUCACCUCGUUGAAACUAAGAGCAGCAAUUCUGUUAAAACCCAACUCUUCUCCUGUCUUCUUUCCAGGUGCUAUUAAAAAAAAAAACCCAAAAAACAACAAAACACAUUCCCUAAACUGAUUGACUUUCAUCAAGAGCUCUUUCAAUGUCACAGAAAUAGAUUUCAUUGCUGUUGACAGCCUGGCUUGAUGCUAAACUUGUAUUGAAACCCUACCAACAGGAAAAAGGCUGCUGAGUUGAACAUAAUGGUCAUAUUAGGGUUUUUUGCAGUGCCUGUCUCUGUGGUGGAUGUGAUUUCCUCUAUUUUGACCCUGAGAAGCUUUUACAGCAGCUCAUUUAAAGUUCGUGUCUCCAAAAGGAAAACAGGGGAAAUACAGAAAGCGAAAUGAUCAACUGUACUUUUAUUUCGAGCAGCCCUCCCACCGGCCGUGAGCUCUGCGGGGAGCAGGAGAUGGGAAAUCAGUGUUGCCCUUAAAACAGAGGAAAUGUCUUUUCCAACAUAAUAUCUAUGAAGCUCCCCAGCACUCUGCCUCUCUGUAAACGACUCGAAGACAGGAGGCGCAGAUUCUAACGACGUGGAGGGUGCCUCUAAAUGCCGUCCUCCUCAAGCUUCCCCCGCUCCUGUUUGUUGCUGUGCACUGAGCGUUACGUGGCCUCCUAAGGGGCUGUGAAUAAUGCACCCAUCAGCAACUUUUGCAUCUUCUGAAACCAUUCCCAUUUUCUAAAGCAGUUUGGUUCAGGGCUGUAAUUGAAACCAUGCACUGAACUGAUAUUUUUAUAUGGGCCACUCUGAAAGUCUGUCGCAGACUGAGCGAGCUCUUCCAUGUGUUGUGUCAUCUUCCUUUUCUACACAGUCUUUGGAAAACCCCCUGGAAACUGUCCAACACCUCAGCUGGAGCUGUGACCAUUCCCCACUCUGGUGUUCUCCUUGUGCUCAAUCAGCAAUCUCUAGCCAUGCAAAGCUGGGGAAGGAAAUGUGCUCUCUCUCUCAAGAGCUUGGAGUAUUUCCUGGAUAAAAGUGAAGAAGGGCUAUAAUCCUUUAUUCUGAUUCUUUUUCCCCAAAGUCUGGUCAAGGGCAAGUUUCCAGUCAAUAAAUCUCUCUAUACACAGCCUCUCUGUGCUUCUAUUUCCCUUGGUGGUGACAUCCCCUCAGUGUGUGGGAAGGAGAGGUAUCCUAGAACAUCUGGAGCUGGAAGGGAUCUACAGAGAUCAUCAAAGUCCAACUCUUGGGCAUCUUGGACAGAAAGUCCAAGAGUUGUCCAUCGAAUACAAUUCCAUGGCCAGAAAGGAGCACUGGAAACAAAAAUAUUUAACAGUUCCACCAUUGCCUCCCACCUCCUUAAACAACCCUGGUCUGGAAAGGGAAGGACAAACCCAAAAUUCUGUGAAAUUGUGGCAACAUGGGAAAACUUCACAAUUUAUUGGCAUCAGCUGGGUAAUGUUUGUUGCUGCAGUUUGCUCACAUUUUUUGCCGAAGAAGCAGAACUAAGUUACACUUUUGUCCUUGGCUAUGACUUUUUGAGAGUGUGACUCAGGCAAGGUUAUUAUUCCAGGCUUGUUAGUGCUGCCACAGUGAAAAGCUCAAUAAUUCCGUGCUUUUCCGUGCUCCCCUGGGGCAGUGCCAGGGCCAGGCUGCAGUGUGAAGUCCUUUCCACCACAUGUGUUUUCUUGCAGAGGCACAGCAAGUCAGUCCGACUCAUCCCUCUUCACCAAACUGGUGCACAUGAAUCUACAAUAAUGAAAUAAACCUGAAGUUACAAGCACAGCACUCCAGCCUGUGCAAACAGACUUGGCAGUUCCAAGUACAGAUUUAUGUCUGGAAGGAUGCAUUCUCCUUGAAGCUGUUUGUGCAACCUACUUACCAGAAGAAAGAGAUUUCCUGGAGAUUUCCUUUAAUUAGCUGGAACAAGCCAUUAGUAAAACAAGCAACUAAAACCAGACGCAUACAAGCUCGCAUAGUUUAUGAAAAAGCAAUAAUUAAAAAUACAUCUUAAAAUUCAAGAAAGGUGGGACCAGGUUCAGUAACAGCUCUUUCUGUGUGGACAGCAAGGAGAGUCUAGGAAGAGAAAGUUUAGCAGUCUCCCUGGAAAGAUAAUGGCAGGAGAGGAAAUACAUCAUCCGUGCUAGUGUGGUUUGUGUCUCUGCCCUUCCCAGUUUCUGAAAGCCUCCGUUUAUUCCUGGGGCAAUUAGGAGUCAUCAUCACUGCCAAUUAUAUUUUUCACUAAGUGAAUGCAAUGUCAUUUCCAAAAAAAUUCUGAAUCAGAUGAAUUUCAAAGUCUGGAAUGCAGCAAUUUUCCUGUGAGUGUUUCCUGGAGCAGCCACGGCCCGGAGUGAUUUGAACACGAAGCACCAGGUCUCUUCCAGGGGAUUACAGGAGACAGGGGCUGUGCCCCUUCUCUUACCCAUAAUGAUAAUUGUGUGCCUCAUUCCUCUCUCCCCAGCUGAAAUGCACCCCUGCAGUUCUGCACUGUGCGUAUUGACUCAAAUGAAGCUUUGUGUAAUAAGAUUUAAAUUGUAAUGACUCAUUAUGUCAACCCUUUUUGCUGGUAUUUUACAUAGUAAGUGUGCACAGAGUGCAGGGUCCUACUGCAGAAAAUCCCAGCAAGUUGACAGUGACAGAGACAAAAAAAAAAAACUACUCUGGAAACUUCUCCCAAAAUCUCAGCAUGACCAGAGUUCCAAAAGGACGAUUUGAGUGGGUGUCCCUAUUACAGCCAUUAUCAUCCGCUCAAGAUUCUCUCCUGAAUCCAUCACAUUUAGAUUUUAGUGGGGCCAGGCUGUCUUCUUUAUAUGGGCCUCAGGUGAAUGAUUUCAAAGUAUUAUUUUUCAUGAUUGUUUAAACAUUUGGCUAUGCACACUCACACAGAGAGCUGUUUUCUAAUAAUCCUUUUAUCAGCCUGAAGCUGGAACAACUUUCUUUCUUGCAAGGAUCUGUUAUUGAGAGUUUCUUAUUAGUAACUAGAUGCUGACAUUGAUUUCAUUAAAAAAUAAGCACAGUCCCGAAGAGCUUUUGAUUUCUUUUUUUAAUUGCAUAACAUGUAGAGUAUAAACACAAACAGCUUUGCUCAGAACUGUACCUAAUUGCUUGAAUGAAAAUGAUUUCUGGAUCAGCAGUUUCUCUCAUUUUUUUGGUACACAUUGGUGGCACGUUACCAAGGCACCUCUAAAACUGCUAAAUGUGGCUGGGGCUGAAAGUGAUGUGGAAAAAUUAUUUUUGUGUGCAUUGUAGAGUGCUCAAAACCACUAACAAAACCAUUGUUUUACAGUACCAAAAGUAAUGGCUAUUCCGUGCAAAAUCAGCUGUAGAUAAAUACCUUUUCUUCUUACAGUGAAGUAAAAGAAUAACUUUGCCUUGAGAUACCAUUUUGUGUCCAGUGAGUCUAAUAGACAAAUUUUGUUAAUUUGCACCAAAAAAGUAAACUUUGUGGCUCUUUUGUGUCAGCUUUUUAAAGACAGAGGUUAACAAAACUCUUCAAACCCACCAAAUUCUCUUCUCUAUAUGAUUCCACAUCAAUCUACAGAGGACUAUUCUCUGGCUGGUUUCUAAAUUCUGGUGCUCCCUAUUUAAAUAUCCAUAGGAAGUACAAACGCUUCUCUCCUACUCGUUUCUCAUCUGAGAAUUUAAUAGCAACUGUUAAAUGACAUAAUACUAUAAGAAAGUAGGUUGGGGAAGUGGGAGGAGGACAAAAAAUUGAUAAAGAAAUGGGAAAGAGAACUGAAGCUUAAAGCUUCUUGUGGUACAUCACUGUAGCUCUUAUGACUCUUUUUUUACACUCUUGCUUCUCUUCAGAAUCCAAAUGUUCACAAGGCUGUAAUUGAAAGCCAGAGAACUGGUAAAUAUCAGUAUCUAAUAGCUGGUGUCCUUCUCCCUGUUCUCCCCUAAUGCAUAUUUCCUGUGAAACGCUGUCAAUGAACGAAUGACUUCUUAUUUCCCCAACUCCUCCUCAGAUGUACUUUCUUCAUCCUCACAGAAGAAUGUUUUGUAUUUCAGGAUUGGUUGGCUUCUCUUUUUUUUUUGCUGGCAGCCCUUCCUGCUCUCGUUAGUACAUGAAAGCCUAAUUGUGCUGGGCAGCUCUGUCCUGGCAAGCAACUUUGAAAUUAUACAUGAAAUGGAACUAGACAUCAUUAAUUCUACUUUUGUAGAAUUAGCUUAAAGGAAAAGAAGAAAACCACCAAAACAUAG